rnacentral:snoRNA from 1 species
UGAUGAGACAUCUCCGGAAUCGCUGCAGCUCGGUGAUGAUUCCCUUGAACCCAUCUGUGUCUGAUGACUGCGGCUGGGG